rnacentral:tRNA from 1 species
GCCGUCAUAGCUCAGCUGGUAGAGCACCACCAUGGUAAGGUGGGGGUCGUGGGUUCGAGCCCCAUUGAUGGCU